UAAUAUUUGCAGAAACGGCAGAAUAUUAAGCAAAAUGCCUUGAGAUAUUUAGUUGCAGCCCUUUGCAUUCUGAGUUCAAUAACAAAACAAUGGCUCAGUGAUGUGUAUAAGGUACGAUUCAAUUAACAGCAUCCUAUCGCAAAAUUUAGUGUUGUUUCAGUGCGUUAAUAUAUUUAUCAAUUUCAUUAUUAGAUUACGAAUGUAUAAAAUAUGUAUGUAUAAUAUAUUUAUAAAUAUAUGAAAGGAAAUGGUAAGCGUUGAUGUGAGAGAAAAACGGUAAGCGUUCAUGUGAGAGAAAAAGCGAAUGAGCGAAAUAGUAAGAGAAAAGAAAGGAAAGAAAGAAAGAAAACGAGCAAAAAUUGAGAAAGAAAGAAAGAGAUUAAAAAAAAGAGAGAGAUGGGAAGCAAAUGUGAAUAAAAGAAGAGAUUGGGAGAAAUGAUAGAGAGGAAGGGGAAGGUAAAAGGAAAGAGCGUCUAGGAUAUCGGAAACCAUCAAAGGCCGUGAUAACAACAAAAGCGACGACACUGUCCUUUGUCUUGGCUAACUCUUGAUCCUACCCGAUGUCUUAGUUAUAUGCGUGUUAAUGGCAAAAACCAAGAGAAUGGAGGUAGGAGAAGGAGAUGAAAGGCGGGUACAGUUUGGAGAACUGCUACUUAGGUGGACGUAAACAACCCAAAACCAUUUGUCAAGCGAUGGUGGUUUGUUCACGAGGGUACGUCAGUGUCGUACUCAUUCUCACAUACUCCCGUACUGAAGUGAAUUCUACCUUUGAUGCAUUCAACAAUAUUGAUAAAUGCUUUGAUUCACUAUUAAACACCUCGAUGAAGCAGAGACUCUUCUACUAGUUGAUGUUAUAUUCAACAUUUCGGAAAAAGGUGAAACCACCACACGAUUCUUAUAUACAAAAACGGCCUGCGGAGACAUGUUCGUGUACUUUAUAUCAGCUCCCCACCACUAUACCAAGCACAACAACAUACAAAAUGAACUUGCUCGCAUUCGUAACAGAUGUGACAAAGCGACCGACCGACCGACACAUUUACGCUGUGCAUUUCCAAAAAAGUUUCAAACUAAAUGGAUACCCCACAUCUUCCACCCAUCCCCAACAAGGUCAACGACGUAAAACAGAACAACAGCCACUAGAAUGCCAACUUCCUGACUGGAGCUACCACAGCUCAGUGGGACAAAUACCACCGCCAUUCGAAAAGCUAUUCGUAGUGAGAUUAAGAAUUCUGACCUAAAUAGGUAAUUAGUAAAUUUACAGCCAAAACUAUCAUUAGAUUUUCUUUAUUUUGACUUCCUCUUUUGUACACACGAAAACAGAUGUCUUAUUCCGAAUGUGCCAUUACUGUGUAAAAUACGUUGGACUCUAAAACACAAGCGUAUUACAAAAUAAGUUAUUUUUACGAAGUUUCUCAAAUGCAAGUCUAGCCGUAAAUAAUAGAUUGUAAAACAUCGGGUAAAAUCCCAUCAGACAAAAAAAAGAUAAAAAGUAGAAAGAAUUAUAUAUCAAGCAAUUUGCAAAAGAUGUUCAAGUAGACGCAACAAAAUUUAUCGCCAUCAGAAGCAGACCAGAAAAGAGCAUAUGUGUCAAUCUCAGAGUACUGUGAGACGACUAGUUAGAGGAAAAUCGGGGUGAAAAUAUAAUUUUCUAUACUGUCGACCAUUUUAGUAUGUAGUAUUCAUGACAUGAUUUUGCACAUCUGGAAAUAUAUGAAACCUCGAUAGUCUUUGCAUUGAAACAAGAGAUGACAGUGCUAUAAAAUUAUUUGGCAAAUUCUUCGGUCGAUCAUCGUAUUUUUUAUUCGUGUCAACCACUGGAAUCAACCCACGUGUCUGCUGCAGAUCAGACAACUGUGAUACCACUACACCAAAAAAAAAAAAGCUUUGGUAAGCUAGAUUUGCAUUUCAGCAACAUCGUUUAAAGACUUUUUAAAUUUGUUAAGCUUUGAACAUACGGUUCAAAUAGACUAAUGUAUUUGAAAAGUUGUGUCCUUGGGCAAAAUAUUUUAUUUCACGUUGCUCCAGUCCACUCAGCUGGCAAAAAUGAGUAGUACCUGUAUUUCAAAGAGCCGGCCUUGUCACACUCUGUGUCACGCUGAAUCUUCCUGAGAACUACAUUAGGGGUACACGUGUCUGUGGAUUGCACAGUCACUUGCACGUUAAUUUCAAGAGCAAGCUGUUCCGUUGAUCGUAUCAGCUGGGACCCUCGUCGUCGUAACCGACGGAGUGCUCCACACGAUAUACACUUCCAGAACGAGCUGUCAAGAACAUAAAAAACUUUUUUAAUACUUUAUAACGUAUAAAAUUCAGGAAGAAUGUUACCACUAAGGAAUUUCACAUAUUCGUGCAGGUUUAUUUCAUGGCAGCAAUGUAAAAUAGGGACAACAAGGUUACACUAAUACCCACGAAGGACUAUAGUCGUACUUUGCAUAGAAAUAAAGGAAAUGCUAAACCAACAGCACAUGUACGUCAAUAUCUUCAAAUAUACACUGGAGGAUAUGAACAACUCUUCGAAUCGUAAAAUCGUCUUCUAAACAGUCGGAUGUCUGGGUGCAGAACAUGAAGGAUGAUACAGUACUUUGUCAAUGAUAAGGUGUCCGGUCAAUUCGUCGACGGCCAUUAGUCGUCGUUUAGUUUGUCCCCAGUCAAUUCGUCGUUAGUCGAUUCGUCCCCAGGUCAAUUCGUUGUCAGUCUUUGUCGAGAUCAUAGAUAAAAUGGAAGAACGAAUAUCUGAAAUAAAAAAACGUUUAUUCUAAGGUU